UACGUAGGGACCGAGCGUUGUCCGGAAUCAUUGGGCGUAAAGAGCGUGUAGGCGGCCUGUUAAGUCUUGCGUGAAAUCUCGGGGCUCAACCCCGAGCGGUCGUGAGAAACUGGCAGGCUAGAGUGCGGGAGAGGAGAGUGGAAUUCCUGGUGUAGCGGUGAAAUGCGCAGAUAUUAGGAGGAACACCGGUGGCGAAGGCGGAUCUCUGGGCCUGUUC
rnacentral:rRNA from 1 species